CCUACGGGUGGCUACAGUGAGGAAUAUUGGUCAAUGGCCGCAAGGCUGAACCAGCCAAGUCGCGUGAGGGAUGACGGUCCUAUGGAUUGUAAACCUCUUUUGUCAGGGAGCAAAGGGCGCCACGUGUGGCGUUUUGCGAGUACCCGAAGAAAAAGACUCGGCUAACUCCGUGCCCGCAGCCGCGGUAAUACGGAGGAUGCGAGCGUUAUCCGGGUUUAUUGGGUUUAAAGGGUUCGCGGGGGGAAGGUAAAGUCAGCGGUAAAAGUUUGGGGCGAAACCCCGUAGUGGCGUUGAAACUGGCGUUCUUGAGUGAGCGAGAAGUAUGCGGAAUGCGUGGUGUAGCGGUGAAAUGCAUAGAUAUCACGCAGAACUCCGAUUGCGAAGGCAGCAUACCGGCGCUCAACUGACGCUCAUGCACGAAAGCGUGGGUAUCGAACAGGAUUAGAUACCCUUGUAGUC
rnacentral:rRNA from 1 species